rnacentral:rRNA from 1 species
GAUGAACGCUGGCGGCGUGCCUAAUACAUGCAAGUCGAGCGAACAGACGAGGAGCUUGCUCCUCUGACGUUAGCGGCGGACGGGUGAGUAACACGUGGAUAACCUACCUAUAAGACUGGGAUAACUUCGGGAAACCGGAGCUAAUACCGGAUAAUAUAUUGAACCGCAUGGUUCAAUAGUGAAAGACGGUUUUGCUGUCACUUAUAGAUGGAUCCGCGCCGCAUUAGCUAGUUGGUAAGGUAACGGCUUACCAAGGCAACGAUGCGUAGCCGACCUGAGAGGGUGAUCGGCCACACUGGAACUGAGACACGGUCCAGACUCCUACGGGAGGCAGCAGUAGGGAAUCUUCCGCAAUGGGCGAAAGCCUGACGGAGCAACACCGCGUGAGUGAUGAAGGUCUUCGGAUCGUAAAGCUCUGUUAUUAGGGAAGAACAAAUGUGUAAGUAACUAUGCACGUCUUGACGGUACCUAAUCAGAAAGCAACGGCUAACUACGUG